rnacentral:rRNA from 1 species
ACUCCUGCGGGAGGCAGCAGUGGGGAAUUUUGGACAAUGGGCGAAAGCCUGAUCCAGCAAUGCCGCGUGAGUGAAGAAGGCCUUCGGGUUGUAAAGCUCUUUUGUCAGGGAAGAAACGGUGAAAGCUAAUAUCUUUUGCUAAUGACGGUACCUGAAGAAUAAGCACCGGCUAACUACGUGCCAGCAGCCGCGGUAAUACGUAGGGUGCAAGCGUUAAUCGGAAUUACUGGGCGUAAAGCGUGCGCAGGCGGUUUUGUAAGUCUGAUGUGAAAUCCCCGGGCUCAACCUGGGAAUUGCAUUGGAGACUGCAAGGCUAGAAUCUGGCAGAGGGGGGUAGAGUUCCACGUGUAGCAGUGAAAUGCGUAGAUAUGUGGAGGAACACCGAUGGCGAAGGCAGCCCCCUGGGUCAAGAUUGACGCUCAUGCACGAAAGCGUGGGGAGCAAACAGGAUUAGAUACCCCAGUAGUCCCAUG